rnacentral:rRNA from 1 species
GAUCCUGGCUCAGGACGAACGCUGGCGGCGUGCUUCAUACAUGCAAGUCGAACGCGAAUCGGUAGCUUGCUACCGAGGAAAGUGGCGGACGGGUGAGUAAUGUGUAGAGAAUCUGCCCUAGAGCGGGGGACAACAGCUGGAAACGGUUGCUAAUACCCCAUAUGAGCGUAUCUGAAAUGGUAUUCUUGAAAACUCCGGUGCUCUAGGAUGAGUCUGCAUCUGAUUAG